rnacentral:rRNA from 1 species
CAGCAGCCGCGGUAAUACGAAGGGGGCUAGCGUUGCUCGGAAUGACUGGGCGUAAAGGGCGCGUAGGCGGCGGCCAAAGUCAGGCGUGAAAUUCCUGGGCUCAACCUGGGGGCUGCGCUUGAUACUUGGUUGCUUGAGUGAGGAAGAGGGUCGUGGAAUUCCCAGUGUAGAGGUGAAAUUCGUAGAUAUUGGGAAGAACACCGGUGGCGAAGGCGGCGAUCUGGUCCUUGACUGACGCUGAGGCGCGAAAGCGUGGGGAGCAAACAGGAUUAGAUACCCCAGUAGUCCCUGUCUCUUAUAA